UAUGCAUUGGUGAUGUUAGCUUCCUCUACCGAUGGCGCACUGCAGAAUAAACGAUAAAAGUGAAAAAGAAGAAAAACACGGCAAAUCAAGGAAGGACUCUUAGUGAGAAGAUAUAAACUGUCGAGUGAAACAUUAAAUGAGAAACAUAAAUUCUAGGAACAACGUGAUGUAUUCGUGAACAGUAAACGGUGUUAUCAAGAAUAGAGAUUAAAUUUGUAGUCAUGAAGAGGUCAGCUGACAUGCAGGUCAAGACAUUAUCUGAAUACUGGAAAAGUGUUACAUGCAUCCUGAUGAUUCGUUCAUAGCAUCAAAAUGCCAACAGCGCGACUGCUGCUCAAGUCUCUAUGGACAGUGUAAAAGAUGAAUGUCAUGAUAUGGACAGCUGCAACGAAGACUAAGCAAUUACAACCAGCCAGCGUUCUGACUGCGUGCGCAUGCCCGUAUUCAUCCAAAAACUGCAGUACAGGAUGAUGAAAGAGUCGAGCAAAGCAAUCUUUAGCGAAUGGAAUGGGUGUUAGAUUCACAGACAUGGAGCUGGCUCUGAAUGAGAACCUUAACUACGACACAUACGAAAGCUGCAAGGAAUAAAUUGUGAAAGGCAAAGCCAGGGCGAACCGCUUGACGAAGCCAAAGAAGACCCUGAAUAAGCCAAGACAUUCUGCUGAGCCAGGGACAAUCUAGUUCUGAACUGAAAAGAAUUUCUGCUAUUGCCAGUUGCACAGCAACCAGAGCAUGUGCAUAAGGUUUCUGCGUGACUGUGUGGUAAGAAACUUGCUACCAUUCCAUCUCAUUAUGUAACUGUCCAGCCCGCAGAUUCCUGUCUUUGCAAGGUCC